AAAAAGAUAAGCUAAGUUUAAGCUAACGGGCUCAUACCCCGCAUAUGAGUUUUACUCUCUUUUUA
rnacentral:tRNA from 1 species